rnacentral:rRNA from 1 species
UACAGAGGUCUCAAGCGUUGUUCGGAUUCAUUGGGCGUAAAGGGUGCGUAGGUGGCGCGCUAAGUCAGGUGUGAAAUUUCGGAGCUUAACUCCGAAACUGCAUUUGAUACUGGCAUGCUUGAGGACUGGAGAGGAGACUGGAAUUCACGGUGUAGCAGUGAAAUGCGUAGAGAUCGUGAGGAAGACCAGUGGCGAAGGCGGGUCUCUAGACAGUUCCUGACACUGAGGCACGAAGGCCAGGGGAGCAAACGGG